rnacentral:lncRNA from 1 species
GGUAGAGCAAUCUGAAACACAGAGCAGUUGUCCAAAGAAUCGAGUUAAGGCCCCCAAAACAGAUAAAAUUAUCUUGUCUUGCUGUGAUUCAGAUUAAACUAAGACUUCUUUUCCUGUUUACUCAAGAUGUAGACACUUGAUGAGAAACUGGUCUGGAGAAAUCUAGGAGCUAUAUUGUCUUUGGACAUCCAUAUUAGAGGAUGAGUAAAUUUGUAAUCCCAUUAAGUAUUUUUUGAGCUUUCCAACAGUUUUAAUUAUUAUUGGGAAAUAAAUCAGAGAAGUCUCUAAAGCAACAAAGAAUUAUUGAGGUUUCGUUUGUUUGGGGAUUUUAAGGUCUAGUACUGUGGUAUUUUUUGAUAAAGCAUCAGCUGUAAUAGCUUUGUAGUACAGUUAUCAAAUUAAAUAAAAAGGGAUGUAAGUAGUCAUAAAAAUUGCUCAUUAAAGCUGAUCGCCUUUUUUUAAAUGCCACCAAAGCUUUGGAGGGUGGAGAAUAACCCAGUUGAAAAUCUACAAGCAAUGCUGUCCACAUCCCAAAUAGACUGGUCAAAAAGCCUUCAUCCCGUCAGUCACUGACAUCAACUUCAUCCAAAUCAGACUCCUAAAAACCCGGCCUAACUUAUGUGUCAUGCAAAGGAUGGCUCUUGGAAAAAUGCAAAGAAGCAGGGGCCGCUAAGGGAGAGAUGUGAAGGUCAAGGAAGCUCUGAGCUCCUGACAGCCGCCCUUCCAGCCUUCUCCUGCCUUCCAUAGAGAGAUGCUAUGGACUCUUGGUCCAGAGACUCAAAUUCAAGGAAAAGAAGAGGCAACAUUUGCAGUGUUGAUCCUUGAGUUGAACAAAGAGUGGUCAGGAGAAGAAACCAACAAGAAAUGUAACCUACCUCCAGAACUCAGGAACUCAG